rnacentral:rRNA from 1 species
UACGUAGGGCGCAAGCGUUGUCCGGAAUUAUUGGGCGUAAAGAGCUCGUAGGCGGUCUGUUACGUCCGCUGUGAAAUCCCAGGGCUUAACCCUGGGCUUGCAGUGGAUACGGGCAGACUAGAGGUAGGUAGGGGAGAAUGGAAUUCCCGGUGUAGCGGUGAAAUGCGCAGAUAUCAGGAGGAACACCGGUGGCGAAGGCGGAUCUCUGGGCCAUUACUGACGCUGAGGAGCGAAAGCGUGGGGAGCGAACAGG